CUGUUGUUAAAAAUGGGUUGCCUUCAUUAAAACCUAAACAAUGCCUCACUUUAAUUCUGCAUAACAUUUUUUAGCCUGCUAGAGUCCUGCACACACACUUAAGGCAAGCCUCUUACAUUGAUGCACUGGACUAAGAGACUGUGUUUUGUUUGUCUCUCUCCAAAGCUGUGGAUUGUCUGCAAGACCGCUGAACUCUGAUUAGAGCGGCUUUCCUUCCGAAGCCAGGAGCAUCUGCUUCUGAAAGUGCCCUUUCCUUCCCCUCCCUCCCAGAGUCCCCCCUCUUCAGAAAGUCCCACUUCUACACACCCAGGGCCUGGGAACAGGGAAUAUUCCUGAACUUGAGCUUGUCUUCUCAGAGCCCUGUUGCCAGUUCAGCUCUCUGAAAUGCUGCUUUCCGAUGAGAAAACAGACGGGACUCAGUGCUGCCUGCAAUUUACAUUUCCCUCAAAAGCUCUAUGUUCUUGCAACACUGUUCCCCAAGCCCACGGCAAGUGGCAGCAGGAAAAGAAACAAUAGAGAAGAUAGAACUGAGAACCAGAGAAGUUGAGUGACUACAUCCCACAGCCAGUUGAAGAGCAGUGGCUGGAAGAGACUCACCAUUGCCUGGUAUUUCCAGACCAUUAGGACUCACCAUGUGUCACUAGAGGAGAGAAUGAGAUACCUGAAAUGUACCUUUCAACUUUAGGUGGAAGAAAAAUGAAGUCAAUUUCCACUGCAAAGCAUCACAAGUUGGCUUCUCCAGGAAGCAGAUUCUGAAACAGCAGUGAUCAUUUGUUAGAAAGUGCUUAUAGGAUCAACACCCAUGUGGGGAAAGAAACAGAAGCAGGAUGAGCAGAGAGAAAAGUUUCCAAUCCUGCAGGGAACUCUAAUGCUGGAACAGUCCUUCAGAGCCCUGCCUUGGAUCCAGAGAGCCAGGUUUUUAUACCCCUGUAUUAGCCAUCAUUGUGUUUGGGCUGCCCCAGGAAAGGAGCAGGUGGCUCUUUAGAAGAUUCCUUUCCCAAAGAUGGCUGACAGCUGAGUGCUGGCAAUCGAACCUCCCCAGCAACUGGGGUAUAAAGCCUUCCCACAGUGGACAAGAUAUCUGAGCAGUGCAGCCCACGGUCAGGACUGAAGUCCCAUCACUUCUCACAACUUCCACUGCAACCAUCUCCAUCAAGCCAACACUGGGUCAUUCCUGGACUAUUGCAAUAGCACCCUGGAUGGCUUCCUUACUUCAGGUUUUGCCUGCAUACACCACAUCAGCCACAUCACAGAAGGAGUCCGCUUCUUAAAAACAAAGAAGAUGGGAAAUAAACAAUCAGAGAGCAGAUUAUAUGAAAUCCAAAGGAAGAGAAAAUUUUAUGAAGAAGCCAUUAUCUGAGACUUUUCAUUGGAUCUGAACUAGGUCAAGUCAGGCAAUGUAGUACAGAAGGUGGAUGGAUAAAAAUGGCAACAGAGGAGUUCCUACUGCAAAACAAUGGGAUUGGCAGUGUCUCUGCAGUGCAAGGACACAGCCCUUCAAUAGCCCCCUCGGGACCUUAGAAAAAUGCUAAUGAGGACCUUGUAUGCUUGGAUUGAAGAGCAGCCAACCAGCAUUGCUGUCUUCCACACACCUGCCUUCCCGUUUGGACUCUGAGUGUCUUGGGAGCAGAACCUACAUAAUCUUUGUUUCUGUGGCAGGUCCAAAACUCAUCUCGAGAUUUGAGUGGACUGAGUUUUUCUGUGAUGCCAUGAAGACAACUUGGAAGGAAGUGGUUCUAGACUAGCGCCAUUUUGAAAGGUCUUCUCCAAAGAACUCCCUGCCUGGAUGAGUGGACUUCAGCAGGAAGAGGAUGUGUGGGGUGUACCAGGAAAGCAGGGUUUGAAGGGAAGUCUUAUGAGGUCCACAGGAAUGUACAUUAUCUUUAAACUGGGCAGAAGUCCAAGGAGACAGAGUAUAGUAUAUCUUCAAAUAACUCACUAAAUGACCCCUUAAGAGACAGUGUUAGCCUUUGGAUAACUGCCACUGAAGAGAGCUUUCAAUAUCCAGCCAAGUGAAAAGAUAUGCUUGCUUCUCUUCCCUCUGAUUCCCAGCUUCUUAUCCUUAACUUGGAAAAGCCAGAAAUAGCAGUGAGUAAAUGGAGAGAAAGUAGUGAAUAAAACCAAAACUGUCCAACUACACCUGGAAGCAAAGAGGAGAUGCUUUAAAUUGAAUGUAAGGUAAAAUUUUUAAAAGUUCAUUUGGAUGGGAAUUUUUAGUACUUAAAAAAUAAGGGCUAUGAGGGACUUCCCUGGUGUCUAAUGGUUAGGACUUGGUGCUUUCACUGCUGCAGCCUGGGUUCAGUCCCUACUCUGGGAACUAAGAUCACACAUUAAGCCACUGCACAGUGCAUAAAAUUAAAAAAAAAUUAAAGAUGAUUUACUGCUUAGAUAUUUUAAAAAUUUAGGAAAAUAAGGCUCGAAAUUGGCUGUAAAAGCAAUGGGAAUCCAUGGUGGUUUUUAAAUAUGUCUGUAAAUUCUUUGACACUCUUCCUAUCGAAAGAUAGAAUCCCUUCCCCUCUCCUUGUACCUGGUGAGCCUUUGUGACUGUUGCAAUGAAUGAAACAUGGCAGAAUUUGCCCUGGCUGACUUCCGAGGCUGCAUCAGAUAGGGAAUGCAGCCUCCCUGCUAGCUUCUCUUUGGCCCUGACUCUGGGAGCCUUCAGCUACCAUGGAAGAAGUUUGGCUAUUUUGAGGCCAUCAUGUGGAAAUACUACAUGCAGAGAUCAUAUUAAGAGAGAGACAUGGAGACAGAAAGAGAGAGGCUCAUCAACAGCAGGGCUGCGACUAGGCAGGGGUGAAUGAAGUGAGUGUGGUGCUCACCCUGGCAAAAAAUUUAAGGGAUGGGGUAGCAAAAAACCUAAUAAUCAAGGUAAAUCAUAUUUUUAUGCACUAUGAACAGAAAUAAAAGUCAAGGUAAAUGAUGAAUAAUACAUCAGCAUUUUAAAUAAAUAUAGGAUCAUUAUUCCAGAUUGUUCCUUUUUGUUCCGACUUCUGUAUGGCUUUGCAUGUCACCUUUACUCAUCUGAUUGAUUACAAAGAACCCAAGGCAACUUUCUGGGGUGAUGGGAAUAUUUUACAUCUUGAUUCAUUGGUGUCUAUGUCAUUGUCAUUGUCAAAAUGGAUUGAAAUGCACACUUGAGAUCCGUACAUUGUACUGUUUGUCAUCUACCACUAUGUGUAUAAGUGUUUUGAAGAGUGAAUAAAACAUGUGAUCUGAUA